UCUAAUAUAGCUCAGUUGGUAGAGCAUGAGACUCAGGGUUGUGGGUUUGAGCUCCAUGUUAGGAA